rnacentral:rRNA from 2 species
GUUUGGUUAAGUUAGAAAGGGCGCACGGUGGAUGCCUUGACACUAGGAGUCGAUGAAGGACGGGACUAACGCCGAUAUGCUUCGGGGAGCUGUAAGUAAGCUUUGAUCCGAAGAUUUCCGAAUGGGGAAACCCACCAUACGUAAUGGUAUGGUAUCCUUAUCUGAAUACAUAGGGUAAGGAAGACAGACCCAGGGAACUGAAACAUCUAAGUACCUGGAGGAAGAGAAAGCAAAUGCGAUUUCCUGAGUAGCGGCGAGCGAAACGGAACAUAGCCCAAACCAAGAGGCUUGCCUCUUGGGGUUGUAGGACAUUCUAUACGGAGUUACAAAGGAACGAGGUAGACGAAGCGACCUGGAAAGGUCCGUCGUAGAGGGUAACAACCCCGUAGUCGAAACUUCGUUCUCUCUUGAAUGUAUCCUGAGUACGGCGGAACACGUGAAAUUCCGUCGGAAUCUGGGAGGACCAUCUCCCAAGGCUAAAUACUCCCUAGUGAUCGAUAGUGAACCAGUACCGUGAGGGAAAGGUGAAAAGCACCCCGGAAGGGGAGUGAAAGAGAUCCUGAAACCGUGUGCCUACAAAUAGUCAGAGCCCGUUAACGGGUGAUGGCGUGCCUUUUGUAGAAUGAACCGGCGAGUUACGAUCCCGUGCGAGGUUAAGCUGAAGAGGCGGAGCCGCAGCGAAAGCGAGUCUGAAUAGGGCGUUUAGUACGUGGUCGUAGACCCGAAACCAGGUGAUCUACCCAUGUCCAGGGUGAAGUUCAGGUAACACUGAAUGGAGGCCCGAACCCACGCACGUUGAAAAGUGCGGGGAUGAGGUGUGGGUAGCGGAGAAAUUCCAAUCGAACCUGGAGAUAGCUGGUUCUCCCCGAAAUAGCUUUAGGGCUAGCCUUAAGUGUAAGAGUCUUGGAGGUAGAGCACUGAUUGGACUAGGGGUCCUCAUCGGAUUACCGAAUUCAGUCAAACUCCGAAUGCCAAUGACUUAUCCUUAGGAGUCAGACUGCGAGUGAUAAGAUCCGUAGUCAAAAGGGAAACAGCCCAGACCGCCAGCUAAGGUCCCAAAGUGUGUAUUAAGUGGAAAAGGAUGUGGAGUUGCUUAGACAACUAGGAUGUUGGCUUAGAAGCAGCCACCAUUUAAAGAGUGCGUAAUAGCUCACUAGUCGAGUGACUCUGCGCCGAAAAUGUACCGGGGCUAAAUACACCACCGAAGCUGCGGAUUGAUACCAAUGGUAUCAGUGGUAGGGGAGCGUUCUAAGGACAGUGAAGUCAGACCGUAAGGACUGGUGGAGUGCUUAGAAGUGAGAAUGCCGGUAUGAGUAGCGAAAGACGGGUGAGAAUCCCGUCCACCGAAUGCCUAAGGUUUCCUGAGGAAGGCUCGUCCGCUCAGGGUUAGUCAGGACCUAAGCCGAGGCCGACAGGCGUAGGCGAUGGACAACAGGUUGAUAUUCCUGUACCACCUCUUUAUCGUUUGAGCAAUGGAGGGACGCAGAAGGAUAGAAGAAGCGUGCGAUUGGUUGUGCACGUCCAAGCAGUUAGGCUGAUAAGUAGG